rnacentral:rRNA from 1 species
GAGACACGGCCCAGACUCCUACGGGAGGCAGCAGUGGGGAAUUUUGGACAAUGGGGGCAACCCUGAUCCAGCAAUGCCGCGUGUGUGAAGAAGGCCUUCGGGUUGUAAAGCACUUUUGUCCGGAAAGAAAACCUCCGUCCUAAUACGGUGGGGGGAUGACGGUACCGGAAGAAUAAGCACCGGCUAACUACGUGCCAGCAGCCGCGGUAAUACGUAGGGUGCAAGCGUUAAUCGGAAUUACUGGGCGUAAAGCGUGCGCAGGCGGUUCGCUAAGACCGAUGUGAAAUCCCCGGGCUUAACCUGGGAACUGCAUUGGUGACUGGCGGGCUAGAGUAUGGCAGAGGGGGGUAGAAUUCCACGUGUAGCAGUGAAAUGCGUAGAGAUGUGGAGGAAUACCGAUGGCGAAGGCAGCCCCCUGGGCCAAUACUGACGCUCAUGCACGAAAGCGUGGGGAGCAAACAGGAUUAGAUACCCUGGUAGUCCACGCCCUAAACGAUGUCAACUAGUUGUCGGGUCUUCAUUGACUUGGUAACGAAGCUAACGCGUGAAGUUGACCGCCUGGGGAGUACGGUCGCAAGAUUAAAACUCAAAGGAAUUGACGGGGACCCGCACAAGCGGUGGAUGAUGUGGAUUAAUUCGAUGCAACGCGAAAAACCUUACCUACCCUUGACAUGUACGGAACCCUGCCGAGAGGUGGGGGUGCCCGAAAGGGAGCCGUAACACAGGUGCUGCAUGGC